AGAGUGGGUCGGGCAAUCGCCGGCAAUUUCGCCGGAGGAAAGUCCGAGCAGGACAGGGCACGGCGGUGGCUAACGGCCACCCGGGGCGACCCGAGGGAAAGUGCCACAGAAAAUACACAGCCCGCCGCCUGGGUAGCCUUUGGGCCUCAGGCGAGGCAAUGGUGAAAUGGUGCGGUAAGAGCGCACCGCGGCGAUGGUGACACCGCCGGCAGGGCAAACCCCGCCGCCUGCAAGACCAAGCAUGCUGGUUAGCCGGCCCGGCCAUAUCCCAGCGGGUAGGUCGCUUGAACCCGGACGCAAGCCCGGGACCAGAUAAAUGAUUGCCAUCCGUCAAAGGAUACAAAACUCGGCUUACAGACCCACUCUUUUA
rnacentral:RNase_P_RNA from 2 species